rnacentral:rRNA from 1 species
AUUGAACGCUGGCGGCAGGCCUAACACAUGCAAGUCGAACGGUAACAGGAAGCAGCUUGCUGCUUCGCUGACGAGUGGCGGACGGGUGAGUAAUGUCUGGGAAACUGCCUGAUGGAGGGGGAUAACUACUGGAAACGGUAGCUAAUACCGCAUAACGUCGCAAGACCAAAGAGGGGGACCUUCGGGCCUCUUGCCAUCGGAUGUGCCCAGAUGGGAUUAGCUAGUAGGUGGGGUAACGGCUCACCUAGGCGACGAUCCCUAGCUGGUCUGAGAGGAGGACCAGCCAAACUGGAACUGAGACACGGUCCAGACUCCUACGGGAGGCAGCAGUGGGGAAUAUUGCACAAUGGGCGCAAGCCUGAUGCAGCCAUGCCGCGUGUAUGAAGAAGGCCUUCGGGUUGUAAAGUACUUUCAGCGGGGAGGAAGGCGAUGAGGUUAAUAACCUUGUCGAUUGACGUUACCCGCAGAAGAAGCACCGGCUAACUCCGUGCCAGCCGCCGCAGUAA